rnacentral:rRNA from 1 species
UACGUAGGGUGCGAGCGUUGUCCGGAAUUACUGGGCGUAAAGAGCUCGUAGGUGGUUUGUCACGUCGUCUGUGAAAUUCCGGGGCUUAACCUCGGGCGUGCAGGCGAUACGGGCAAUACUUGAGUGCUGUAGGGGAGACUGGAAUUCCUGGUGUAGCGGUGAAAUGCGUAGAUAUCAGGAGGAACACCGGUGGCGAAGGCGGCUUACUGGACGAUAACUGACGUUGAGGCCCGAAAGCGUGGGGAGCAAACAGGAUUAGAUACCCGGGUAGUCCCUGAGCGGG